CUAUACUCACCUUUAAAAUACUUGGACUAUUAUAUGUAGUCUGUGUAAUGUUUUACCUUUAGAGAAAAUUUAGCAUCCUUUGAAGUAAGGUUUCAGAAGGACCUAAUCCUCUUUUUUUAAUUCCUUGAAUAUUCUUAGGCAUGGGUUUUUGUCAUUGAGUUUGUACAAUUUUAAGUUUUAAAAGAAUUUAGAGCUGCAGUUAGGUAAUACAGUUUCACAAUUUUGGUUAGUACGUGUGGAAGUGGUAUGUAAAGGAGUCAAAAUGGUAUAAUAAAGUGGGACGUCAUUGAGUGUAAAUCUUUUUUUCCUUCAUACCUUCUUAGUCCAGGUCCAUCGUGUUGGCUAAUACAAAGAUCUCUUUUUUGUAAGUUAUAAUUUAUAUUUUGUCAAAUGUGAUGAGAGUAAUCUGCUGCAGUGUACAUUUACUCAGAUUGCUGUUAAUUUUUUUACUAAUGUUCUUAUUUAGAAUUUAGUUUUUUAAGCACG
rnacentral:lncRNA from 1 species